rnacentral:rRNA from 1 species
AGCCCGCCCUAGCCCAACCUACAUAUUACCCACCCUACAAUUAAAAACUUACUUUGCACUCAAACUAAACCAUUCUUUUAACUUAGUAUAGGCGAUAGAAAAGAAUAAUCCUUGGCGCAAUAGAGACUCGUACCGUAAGGGAAAGAUGAAAUAAUAAUGAAAAUUAAAGCUAUAAAAAGCAAAGAUAAAACCUUGUACCUUUUGCAUCAUGAUUUAGCAAGAAUAACCAAGCAAAGCGAACUUAAGUUUGCCCUCCCGAAACUCAAGCGAGCUACUUGCAAGCAGCUAUUUAUGAGCGAACCCGUCUCUGUCGCAAAAGAGUGGGAUGACUAGCUAGUAGAGGUGAAAAGCCAAUCGAGCUGAGUGAUAGCUGGUUGCCUGUAAAACGAAUCUAAGUUCUCUCUUGAUCUCUCCUCCCGGACACCCAAACCAACCCCAAUGUAGAAGACCAAGAGCAAUUUAAAGGAGGUACAGCUCCUUUAAAAAAGAAAACAACCUCCACCAGCGGAUAACUAUGCCUACCCAUUACUUAAACUGUGGGCCUUCAAGCAGCCAUCAACAAAGAAUGCGUCAUAGCUCCAUGUAUAUGUAAAAAUCUAAUAACAAAAUGACUCCCUCCUUAAACCACAGGCCAACCUAUAACAAUAGGUGAACUAAUGCUAGAAUGAGUAACCUGGGAUUCUCCCUCUUAAGCGCAAACUUACAUCUCCACAUUAUUAACAGACCACAAACUUAUAUCUCAACUCCCAACAAGAUUAAAAUAUUCACGUACCCUGUUACCCCAACCCUGGAGCGCAAAUUAGAAAGAUUAAAAUCUGUAAAAGGAACUAGGCAAACCCAAGGCCCGACUGUUUACCAAAAACAUAGCCUUCAGCCAACCAAGUAUUGAAGGUGAUGCCUGCCCAGUGACAUAACGUUUAACGGCCGCGGUAUCCUAACCGUGCGAAGGUAGCGCAAUCAAUUGUCCCAUAAAUCGAGACUUGUAUGAAUGGCUAAACGAGGUCUUAACUGUCUUUUACAGAUAAUCAGUGAAAUUGAUCUUCCCGUGCAAAAGCAGGAAUAACUACAUAAGACGAGAAGACCCUGUGGCACUUAAAAAUCAUUGGCCACCACGCACACAUACAAACCUAUUUAAGGCUCACUAAACUACAAAUGUUGGCCUACAUUUUUCGGUUGGGGCGACCUUGGAGAAAAACAAAUCCUCCAAAAAUAAGACCACACCUCUUAACCAAGAACCACCCCUCAACGUACCAACAGUAACCAGACCCAAUACAAUUGAUCAAUGGACCAAGCUACCCCAGGGAUAACAGCGCAAUCCCCUCCAAGAGCCCACAUCGACGAAGGGGUUUACGACCUCGAUGUUGGAUCAGGACAUCCUAAUGGUGCAGCCGCUAUUAAGGGUUCGUUUGUUCAACGAUUAACAGUCCUACGUGAUCUGAGUUCAGACCGGAGCAAUCCAGGUCGGUUUCUAUCUAUGAUUGAACUUUCCCUAGUACGAAAGGACCGGGAAAGUAGGGCCAAUACUACAAGCACGCCCUCUACCCUAAGUAAUGAACCCAACUAAAUUACUAAGGAGCCCCAUACUACAGUCCUAGAAAAGGCCCA